UAGACUUUAAAACAGACCAUAUUAGCUACCCCUAUUAAAUAAAGUAUCAACUAUUGAAACCUGUUCCCUGUCUUCGGUUGGGGCGACCACGGGGAAAAGAAAACCCCCCACGUGGACCAGAAGUACCUUUAAAAUUUACUUCCACAACUAAGAGCCACAGCUCUAACGCACAGAAUUUCUGACCUAUAGAUCCGGCAAAGCCGAUCAACGGACCAAGUUACCCUAGGGAUAACAGCGCAAUCCCCUUUAAGAGUCCCUAUCGCCAAGGGGGUUUACGACCUCGAUGUUGGAUCAAGACAUCCUAAUGGUGCAACCGCUAUUAAG
rnacentral:rRNA from 1 species